rnacentral:rRNA from 1 species
AAACACGGACCAAGGAGUCUAACAUGUGCGCAAGUCAUUGGGUUCACUAGACCUAAAGGCGCAAUGAAAGUGAAGGUCUCGCCACGCGCGGACCGAGGGAAGAUGGAGUUCGCAGAAGCGGCUCUCGCAUUCCCGGGGCGUCUCGUUCUCACUGCGAGUUGAGGCGCACCCAGAGCGUACACGUUGGGACCCGAAAGAUGGUGAACUAUGCCUGGCCAGGACGAAGUCAGGGGAAACCCUGAUGGAGGUCCGUAGCGAUUCUGACGUGCAAAUCGAUCGUCGGAGCUGGGUAUAGGGGCGAAAGACUAAUCGAACCAUCUAGUAGCUG